UACGGAGGGUGCAAGCGUUAAUCGGAAUUACUGGGCGUAAAGCGCACGCAGGUGGCUGAGUCAGUCGAUUGUGAAAGCCCUGGGCUUAACCUGGGAAUUGCAGUCGAUACUACUCAGCUAGGGUAUGGGAGAGGGCAGUGGAAUUCCCGGUGUAGCGGUGAAAUGCGCAGAUAUCGGGAAGAACACCCGUGGCGAAGGCGGUUCUCUGGGACGGUACUGGACGCUGAGACGCGAAAGCGUG
rnacentral:rRNA from 1 species